UGGGGAAUCUUGCGCAAUGGGCGAAAGCCUGACGCAGCAACGCCGCGUGGGGGAUGACGGCCUUCGGGUUGUAAACCUCUUUCGACCGGGACGAAGGAUUCGUUUGACGGUACCGGUAGAAGAAGCACCGGCUAACUACGUGCCAGCAGCCGCGGUAAUACGUAGGGUGCGAGCGUUGUCCGGAAUUAUUGGGCGUAAAGAGCUCGUAGGCGGUUUGUCGCGUCGGCCGUGAAAUCCUGCCGCUUAACGGUGGGCGUGCGGUCGAUACGGGCAGACUUGAGUUCGGUAGGGGAGACUGGAAUUCCUGGUGUAGCGGUGAAAUGCGCAGAUAUCAGGAGGAACACCGGUGGCGAAGGCGGGUCUCUGGGCCGAUACUGACGCUGAGGAGCGAAAGCGUGGGGAGCGAACAGG
rnacentral:rRNA from 1 species